rnacentral:rRNA from 1 species
GAGCGUUAUCCGGAUUUAUUGGGUUUAAAGGGAGCGUAGGUGGAUUGUUAAGUCAGUUGUGAAAGUUUGCGGCUCAACCGUAAAAUUGCAGUUGAAACUGGCAGUCUUGAGUACAGUAGAGGUGGGCGGAAUUCGUGGUGUAGCGGUGAAAUGCUUAGAUAUCACGCAGAACUCCGAUUGCGAAGGCAGCUUACUAAACUAUAACUGACACUGAAGCACGAAAGCGUGGGGAUCAAACAGGAUUAGAUACCCUGGUAGUCCACGCAGUAAACGAUGAUUACUAGCUGUUUGCGAUACACAGUAAGCGGCACAGCGAAAGCGUUAAGUAAUCCACCUGGGGAGUACGCCGGCAACGGUGAAACUCAAAGGAAUUGACGGGGGCCCGCACAAGCGGAGGAACAUGUGGUUUAAUUCGAUGAUACGCGAGGAACCUUACCCGGGUUUGAACGCAUAUUGACAGCUCUGGAAACAGAGUCUCUAGUAAUAGCAAUUUGCGAGGUGCUGCAUGGUUGUCGUCAGCUCGUGCCGUGAGGUGUCGGCUUAAGUGCCAUAACGAGCGCAACCCUUAUCACUAGUUACUAACAGGUCAUGCUGAGGACUCCAGUGAGACUGCCAGCGUAAGCUGUGAGGAAGGUGGGGAUGACGUCAAAUCAGCACGGCCCUUACAUCCGGGGCGACACACGUGUUACAAUGGUGGGGACAAAGGGCAGCUACCGUGUGAGCGGAUGCUAAUCUCCAAACCCCAUCUCAGUUCGGAUCGAAGUCUGCAACCCGACUUCGUGAAGCUGGAUUCGCUAGUAAUCGCGCAUCAGCCAUGGCGCGGUGAAUACGUUCCCGGGCCUUGUACACACCGCCCGU